GUAGGUGAACCUGCGGAGGGAUCAUUAACACGUAUCCAAACGUUUUUUAUUAAACAAACCCCAAUUGCGAACAUUAAGUCCUCCACGAGACACGGCGAUUGUGAGCCAUAGGUGAAAGGUUGGGUUAUCAUUGGUGUUGCUGCAACACCUAGGUAGCUCCGCUGGCGCUGCAAUCUACUAAUUGGUCGAUAAGGCCUACCGACAUAUCGUUUGGUUGUAUUAACUCACCUGGUGCUCGCGCCACCUCAGC
rnacentral:misc_RNA from 1 species